rnacentral:lncRNA from 1 species
UGGCUCCUGCUCAGUGCGCGGCGCCAGCGCUUGUCUUGUCCCGGCUGCGUCUCUGGGCCCCACGGGCCCCUCCUCACAUGGCAACUAUUGUGGCUACUAGUCCAGGCGGCUUAGCCUCUGGAGUGGGUCCAGGACCCGCUCCAGCUGACCUCUGACUCCCUGGGGCCAACUUAGCCCUGGUCUUCCCGCUCCUCCGAUCUCCCACGCGAAUCGCCGCCAUGAGCUAACUCCCCACCCCCGGGCAGACCCGGGAGAGCUUUGAUUACCUGGGGUCUUCUGCUUCCUCCCAGACGUCAGCUCCGCUUCAGGAAUCGACUGAGACUUUGGCUCAGAGUUUGGUUCCAUUCUUGGACACGGAUUCAGCUGGAGAGCUGCCCCGGGGCCAGAGCAGUUCGCUGCUGCACACUGGGAUCUGAAUGACAAGCUGACUCGGCACAGAAGUCUCCCAUCAAAAGCAAGGAACUUUACUGUUUCGCCCAAGAACCGGAAGAAAGAUCUAGCUCAGCAUCAAAGGCUUGCCAAGGUUGUUGUUGGAACUCCAUACCGAUUUGUAUCAAAACCUCAGCGUCAGAAACAAACUCUGCAGAAUGGGUAUUUAGAUUCAAGUAUGGAUAUACUGUAUCUGGGCAGCCUGCCUCCAGAACUCCAGGUGAGCUCAGAUGAGCCUCCAGGGCCUCCUGAGCAAGCUGGACUUUCUCAGUUCCAUCUAGAGCCUGAAACUCAAAAUCCAGAAACCACUGAAGAGAUCCAGUCCUCUACUCCAGCAAGAAGCUGCAGCGCAGCUUCCACAGCUCCCUGAGGUGGUAGAACUUUCUUCAACCAAAGCUGGAGGCCCCAGCUCUGCCUUCACAGUCCCUUGAGGGGGUCCACUCUUCAACAGAGCAGAAGGCUCCAGCACAGCAGCUACCUGCCUUUGAAGAGAUCCUAGCCCCACUAUUGAUACAUCAUGAGGUAAAUGUUCCAUUGAAAAGUUGGAGUGAAGUUCAGCACUCACACUUGCCCAGUGUCACAAUCAAACCUGUGGACGUGGAGCUUACGGUAACUCCAGAGCCAGGUAAGAAACUUACAACAAGCCAGGAACAGGCCCCAGCUCAGCCUCCAGAACACUCCAAAGAGGUGGGCUCUUCCUCAACCCAAUUAUAGCCCCCAGCUCAGACUCCAGACCCCCCUAAGGAGGUAGAACCUUCUCCAGUCCAGCAGAGUUCCCAGAUGAGCCACCAGAGCCCCCUAAGGAGGUUGAACCAUCUGCAACCCAGCAGGAAGCCUCAGGUCAUCCUCCGAAGUCCACUGAAGAGGUCAGUCCUCCACUGCAGCAGGAGAUACCAGCUCAGCCAUCAGAGCCACCUGAGAAGGUCAAACCAUCUCCAGUCAUAAAGCAGCCCCCAACUCAGCUU